AUACGGAGGGGGUUAGCGUUGUUCGGAAUUACUGGGCGUAAAGCGCACGUAGGCGGACUGGAAAGUUGGGGGUGAAAUCCCGGGGCUCAACCCCGGAACUGCCUCCAAAACUUCCAAGCUAGAGAUCGAGAGAGGUGAGUGGAAUUCCAAGUGUAGAGGUGAACUUCGUAGAUAUUUGGAGGAACACCAGUGGCGAAGGCGGCUCACUGGCUCGAUACUGACGCUGAGGUGCGAAAGCGUGGGGAGCAAACAGGAUUAGAAACCCUAGUAGUCC
rnacentral:rRNA from 1 species